rnacentral:rRNA from 1 species
GAUGAACGCUGGCGACGUGCCUAAUACAUGCAAGUCGAGCGAACGGAUGAGAAGCUUGCUUCUCUGAUGUUAGCGGCGGACGGGUGAGUAACACGUGGAUAACCUACCUAUAAGACUGGGAUAACUUCGGGAAACCGGAGCUAAUACCGGAUAAUAUUUUGAACCGCAUGGUUCAAAAGUGAAAGACGGUCUUGCUAUCACUUAUAGAUGGAUCCGCGCUGCAUUAGCUAGUUGGUAAGGUAACGGCUUACCAAGGCGACGAUGCAUAGCCGACCUGAGAGGGUGAUCGGCCACACUGGAACUGAGACACGGUCCAGACUCCUACGGGAGGCAGCAGUAGGGAAUCUUCCGCAAUGGGCGAAAGCCUGACGGAGCAACGCCGCGUGAGUGAUGAAGGUCUUCGGAUCGUAAAACUCUGUUAUUAGGGAAGAACAUAUGUGUAAGUAACUGUGCACAUCUUGACGGUACCUAAUCAGAAAGCCACGGCUAACUACGUG